UGGGAAGAAUGGGCGAUAGCAUUAGUUUCUAAUGAGGAAAGUCCGAACACCAAAGAGCAACACGCUUUAUAACAUAAAGGCGGUGAUGAUUGGUAACAAUACAAGCCGACGGAAAGUGCAACAGAAAGCAAACCGCUGUGUAUGUACAAUACACAGUAAGGGUGAAAUGGUGAGGUAAGAGCUUACCGCAUUCCAGGUAACUGUAAUGGCAUGGCAAACCCCGUGUGGUGCAAGGCGAAAUAGGAACAGUAAUUCAGUAGAAUAAAGGACUGCUCGUUUUUUUGUCAAUGAAAUACUUGACGUGCUGUUUGGGUACGCCGCUUGAAGAUAAUGGCAACAUUAUUUCCAGAUACAUUGUCGCCUCCGUUAGCAAUAACGAAGACAGAAUUCGGCUUACAAUUCUUUUCACACU
rnacentral:RNase_P_RNA from 1 species